AUACAUAGGGGGCAAGCGUUGUCCGGAAUGACUGGGCGUAAAGGGUGUGUAGGCGGUUUCGCAAGUUGGAAGUGUAAUACCUAGAGCUUAACUCAGGUGCUGCUUCCAAAACUGCGAGACUUGAGUGUCGGAGAGGAAAAUGGAAUUCCUAGUGUAGCGGUGGAAUGCGUAGAUAUUAGGAGGAACACCAGAGGCGAAAGCGAUUUUCUGGACGAUAACUGACGCUGAGGCACGAAAGCGU
rnacentral:rRNA from 1 species